rnacentral:rRNA from 1 species
UGGGGAAUUUUGGACAAUGGGGGCAACCCUGAUCCAGCAAUGCCGCGUGAGUGAAGAAGGCCUUCGGGUUGUAAAGCUCUUUUGUCAGGGAAGAAACGGUAGUAGCGAAUAACUAUUACUAAUGACGGUACCUGAAGAAUAAGCACCGGCUAACUACGUGCCAGCAGCCGCGGUAAUACGUAGGGUGCAAGCGUUAAUCGGAAUUACUGGGCGUAAAGCGUGCGCAGGCGGUUGUGUAAGUCAGAUGUGAAAUCCCCGGGCUCAACCUGGGAAUUGCAUUUGAGACUGCACGGCUAGAGUGUGUCAGAGGGGGGUAGAAUUCCACGUGUAGCAGUGAAAUGCGUAGAUAUGUGGAGGAAUACCGAUGGCGAAGGCAGCCCCCUGGGAUAACACUGACGCUCAUGCACGAAAGCGUGGGGAGCAAACAGGAUUAGAUACCCCUGUAUUCCCUGAGCGGGCUGGCAAGGCGCAU